rnacentral:rRNA from 1 species
GACGAACGCUGGCGGCGUGCUUAACACAUGCAAGUCGAACGGUAAGGCCCUUCGGGGUACACGAGUGGCGAACGGGUGAGUAACACGUGGGUGAUCUGCCCUGCACUUUGGGAUAAGCCUGGGAAACUGGGUCUAAUACCGAAUAUGAUCAUCGGCUUCAUGGUCGGGGGUGGAAAGCUUUUGCGGUGUGGGAUGGGCCCGCGGCCUAUCAGCUUGUUGGUGGGGUAAUGGCCUACCAAGGCGACGACGGGUAGCCGGCCUGAGAGGGUGACCGGCCACACUGGGACUGAGAUACGGCCCAGACUCCUACGGGAGGCAGCAGUGGGGAAUAUUGCACAAUGGGCGCAAGCCUGAUGCAGCGACGCCGCGUGAGGGAUGACGGCCUUCGGGUUGUAAACCUCUUUCAGCACAGACGAAGCGCAAGUGACGGUAUGUGCAGAAGAAGGACCGGCCAACUACGUGCCAGCCGCCGCCGUAA